CUCCUAUUAAGUUGUACCAGUGUAAUCAAAUUGUUCUAUUUGUAUUGUUUGUAAAAUUUAGUACAAACGGAGGAUUAGAGCAAUAAAGCCCAAUAUCAUAGUUUUGAAGUAGAAGAAACAGUUUGUUUUUGUGUAAAACAAAUGUUAUCUUUAGCAAGGGGCUGGUCUUGAGACUGUAAAGUUUGGUGACCAUUUAUAACCAGAUGCUCCGCGGGGCGCAGCUUUUUACGACCGCAGAGGUUGAACCCUGAACGGUUGGGGCAAAUAUGGACACAACAUUCAAGCUGGAUUCAGCUCUAAAUUUGGAUUGUGAUUAAAUAGUUGACACAGCAUAGGUUUCUGACACAGAAUGAAUGUGGUCUAAUGAACUUGAAAUAUUUUGUUUGCCUUUGAGCAAUUCACUAUGCUGUUGAAUAUUAAUCCUCUCAAAAUAAUGUUUGAAGAAAUUUUCUUUUUAUUUAUGAAAUCUGAAAUGAGAAAAAUUGAACCCCCCAAUUUUUUUUUUCACAUCCCCCUUUCCCUUAUUCCAAAACUGAUCUCAAUUCAAAUUUCUAAUGGAGUUUGCAACAAUAACUACUCAUUUAAAUACAUCAUAAAA
rnacentral:lncRNA from 1 species